AGAGUUUGAUCAUGGCUCAGGAUGAACGUCUGGCGGUAUGCCUAAUACAUGCAAGUCGUGCGGAAAGGCCUCUUCGGAGGUACUCGAGCGGCGGACGGCAGAGUAACGCGUAGGAACAUACCCCAAACUGAGGGAUAACUGCUCGAAAGAGUAGCUAAUACCGCAUGUGGUCUUCGGACUAAAGCUUCGGCGGUUUGGGAAUGGCCUGCGUUCGAUUAGCUAGUUGGUGAGGUAAUUGCUCACCAAGGCGACGAUCGAUAGCUGGUCUGAGAGGAUGAUCAGCCUGACUGGAACUGAGACACGGUCCAGACUCCUACGGGAGGCAGCAGUAGGGAAUUUUCCACAAUGGGCGAAAGCCUGAUGGAGCAAUACCGCGUGCAGGAUGAAGGCCUUCGGGUCGUAAACUGCUUUUAUGUGAGAAGAAUUUGACGGUAACACAUGAAUAAGGGUCGGCUAACUACGUG
rnacentral:rRNA from 1 species